rnacentral:lncRNA from 13 species
AGGCAAACAAAAAGGAUCAAUCAAACUUCUAAUCCUAAAUUCCACAUUUGCAUGAAGAACUCUGGGGAGCAUCAUCCACUUUCAAUAGCAGGAGAAUCUCACUGUCACCAAGCCAAGAGUACAAUGGUGAGAUCACAGCUCACUGUAGCCUCAAUCUCUUGGGCUCAAGCGAUCCUCCCACCUCAGCCUCCUGAAUAGCUGGAACUACAGGGAGCCCUACAGUUUCAUCCGUAUCCUCACCAAAGCUCUGGGAUCCUGGGAAGAAGAAAAGAAAACGAGACCAAUAUUGAGAUAGGACAAAUUAAACUAUUGAAGAUCUUCAUGUCUGAUUAAUUUGUUUCAUGAUUAGCUUUCAGAACACAGAGUUUUAUGAGGAUUAGACAUAAGAUAGGUAAGUUCUAAGGAAGAAAAAGGAGCAGACCCUAAAAAUGUGGGUAAAGGAUCUCACUAAGCCAGCCAGGGUAGAUAUGGAGAAACUCCCAGGAUGCCCAAGGCAGGGGGAAAAGAUUGAGAGAGGGCUGCAUGAGUUGGGGGGAAAGAGCCUUUGAAGAAUGAAGAGAUAAUAUGUGUGGUUUCACUAAAGGUCAAUCUAAGACAAAGCAACCACGAUUGUGUUCUUUCCAUAUAUGAAAUCCAAGGUUAAAGUGGGAGAGUGUAACCAGGCACUUAAAUGCUAAUCAUGAAAACAGAUAAAACUUAAUCAAUAACUUAAAAAACACAUAGGUGUACACACA